rnacentral:rRNA from 1 species
AGAUUGAACUGAAGAGUUUGAUCCUGGCUCAGAUUGAACGCUGGCGGAAUGCUUUACACAUGCAAGUCGAACGGCAGCACGGGGGCAACCCUGGUGGCGAGUGGCGAACGGGUGAGUAACACAUCGGAACGCGUCCUGUAAUGGGGGAUAACCUGGCGAAAGCCAGGCUAAUACCGCAUACGUCCUGAGGGAGAAAGCGGGGGAUCGCAAGACCUCGCGUUAUAGGAGCGGCCGAUGUCGGAUUAGCUAGUUGGUGGGGUAAAGGCCUACCAAGGCGACGAUCCGUAGCGGGUCUGAGAGGACGGCCCGCCACACUGGGACUGAGACACGGCCCAGACUCCUACGGGAGGCAGCAGUGGGGAAUUUUGGACAAUGGGCGCAAGCCUGAUCCAGCCAUUCCGCGUGAGUGAAGAAGGCCUUCGGGUUGUAAAGCUCUUUCGGCCGGGAAGAAAUCGCACCUUCUAAUACGGGGUGUGGAUGACGGUACCGGAAGAAGAAGCACCGGCUAACUACGUGCCAGCAGCCGCGGUAAUACGUAGGGUGCGAGCGUUAAUCGGAAUUACU